rnacentral:rRNA from 1 species
UACGGAGGGUGCAAGCGUUGUUCGGAUUUACUGGGCGUAAAGCGCGCGCAGGUGGAUGAACAAGUCGGAAGUGAAAUCUUGAGGCUCAACCUCGAGGCUGCUCCCGAAACUGUUCGUCUAGGGACUGGUAGAGGCUGGUAGAAUUCCCGGUGUAGCGGUGGAAUGCGUAGAGAUCGGGAAGAAUACCCGUGGCGAAGGCGGCCA